UAAUUAAGGUAUAAAAAAGAACGUGCUAGUAACACGUUCCCUAUAGAACCGUUUAAGACGGUAGCAAAUUUUUCAAUUAAAAAAAA
rnacentral:sRNA from 1 species